GAUGAACGCUGGCGGCGUGCCUAAUACAUGCAAGUCGAGCGAACGGACGAGAAGCUUGCUUCUCUGAUGUUAGCGGCGGACGGGUGAGUAACGCGUGGAUAACCUACCUAUAAGACUGGGAUAACUUCGGGAAACCGGAGCUAAUACCGGAUAAUAUUUUGAACCGCAUGGUUCAAAAGUGAAAGACGGUCUUGCUGUCACUUAUAGAUGGAUCCGCGCUGCAUUAGCUAGUUGGUAAGGUAACGGCUUACCAAGGCAACGAUGCAUAGCCGACCUGAGAGGGUGAUCGGCCACACUGGAACUGAGACACGGUCCAGACUCCUACGGGAGGCAGCAGUAGGGAAUCUUCCGCAAUGGGCGAAAGCCUGACGGAGCAACGCCGCGUGAGUGAUGAAGGUCUUCGGAUCGUAAAACUCUGUUAUUAGGGAAGAACAUAUGUGUAAGUAACUGUGCACAUCUUGACGGUACCUAAUCAGAAAGCCACGGCUAACUACGUG
rnacentral:rRNA from 1 species